rnacentral:rRNA from 1 species
GAAUGAACGUUGGCGGCGUGGAUUAGGCAUGCAAGUCGAGCGAGAACCCUCCGCAAGGAGGGGGACAGCGGCGAAAGGGAGAGUAACGCGUGGAUUAUUUGCCCCCGGGACCGGGAUAGCCGCGGGAAACUGCGGGUAAUACCGGAUGACGUCUCCGGACCAAAUGGUGUGAUUCCGCCAGGGGAUAAGUCCGCGUCCUAUUAGCUAGUUGGUGGGGUAAUGGCCUACCAAGGCAAUGAUGGGUACUGGGUGUGAGAGCACGACCCAGCUCACUGGGACUGAGACACUGCCCAGACACCUACGGGUGGCUGCAGUCGAGGAUCUUCGGCAAUGGGCGCAAGCCUGACCGAGCGACGCCGCGUGUGGGAUGAAGGCCUUCGGGUUGUAAACCGCUGUCAGUGGGGAGGAAAUGUCUAGGGGUUCUCCCCUAGAUUUGACCUAUCCGCAGAGGAAGUCAGGGCUAAGUUCGUGCCAGCAGCCGCGGUAAGACGAACCUGACGAACGUUAUUCGGAAUCACUGGGCUUAAAGGGUGCGUAGGCUGUGCAGAAAGUUGGGUGUGAAAUCCCUCGGCUUAACCGAGGAACUGCGCCCAAAACUACUGUGCUUGAGUGAGAUAGAGGUGAGCGGAACUUAGGGUGGAGCGGUGAAAUGCGUUGAUAUCCUA